rnacentral:rRNA from 1 species
GCGAGUCGAGAGUCUUAGGGACUCGGCGUACCGCUCAGUAACACGUGGGUAACCUGCCCUGUGCUGGGGAAUAACCUCGGGAAACUGAGAAUAAUGCCCCAUAAUUCACUACGCCUGGAACGGUGGGUGGAUCAAAGCUCCGGCGGCACAGGAUGGGCCUGCGGCGUAUCAGGUCGUAGGGGGUGUAAUGUACCCUCUAGCCUUCAACGCGUACGGGUUGUGGGAGCAAUCGCCCGGAGAUGGAUUCUGAGACACGAAUCCAGACCCUACGGGGUGCAGCAGGCGCGAAAACUUCACACUGCAGGAAACUGUGAUGAGGGAAUUCCAAGUGGCCAGACAAAGUCUGGUCUUUUAUGUAACUUUUAAUCGGUUACAGAACAAA